rnacentral:tRNA from 1 species
GCGGGUGUAGCUCAGCGGUAGAGCUCCACGUUGCCAACGUGGUGGUCACUGGUUCGAAUCCAGUUAUCCGCUCCA